GGCGACGUGGAGAAACUGGUAGACUUGCCAUCUUGAGGGGGUGGUGCUCGUAAGGGCGUGUGGGUUCGAAUCCCAUCGUCGUCA
rnacentral:tRNA from 1 species